AGGGAAAGAGGGAGGCAGGCCUAACACAUGCAAGUCGAACGGUAACAGGAAGAAGCUUGCUUCUUUGCUGACGAGUGGCGGACGGGUGAGUAAUGUCUGGGAAACUGCCUGAUGGAGGGGGAUAACUACUGGAAACGGUAGCUAAUACCGCAUAACGUCGCAAGACCAAAAAGGGGGACCUUCGGGCCUCUUGCCAUCGGAUGUGCCCAGAUGGGAUUAGCUAGUAGGUGGGGUAACGGCUCACCUAGGCGACGAUCCCUAGCUGGUCUGAGAGGAUGACCAGCCACACUGGAACUGAGACACGGUCCAGACUCCUACGGGAGGCAGCAGUGGGGAAUAUUGCACAAUGGGCGCAAGCCUGAUGCAGCCAUGCCGCGUGUAUGAAGAAGGCCUUCGGGUUGUAAAGUACUUUCAGCGGGGAGGAAGGGAGUAAAGUUAAUACCUUUGCUCAUUGACGUUACCCGCAGAAGAAGCACCGGCUAACUCCGUG
rnacentral:rRNA from 1 species